UACGGAAGGCAGCAGUGGGGAAUAUUGCACAAUGGGCGAAAGCCUGAUGCAGCUAUGCCGCGUGUAUGAAGAAGGCCUUAGGGUUGUAAAGUACUUUCAUCGGGGAGGAAAAACAAAACUAAUAAUUUUAUUUCUUGACGUUACCCGAAAAAGAAGCACCGGCUAACUCCGUGCCAGCAGCCGCGGUAAUACGGAGGGUGCUAGCGUUAAUCAGAAUUACUGGGCGUAAAGAGCACGUAGGUGGUUUUUUUAAAGUCAGAUGUGAAAUCCCUGGGCUUAACCUAGGAACUGCAUUUUGAAACUGAAAUACUAGAGUAUCGUAGAGGGAGGUAGAAUUCUAGGUGUAGCGGUGAAAUGCGUAGAUAUCUGGAGGAAUACCUGUGGCGAAAGCGGCCUCCUAAACGAAUACUGACACUGAGGUGCGAAAAGCGUGGGGAGCGAAACAGGGAUUAGAUACC
rnacentral:rRNA from 1 species